rnacentral:rRNA from 1 species
AUGCAGCAACGCCGCGUGAGGGAUGACGGCCUUCGGGUUGUAAACCUCUUUUAGCAGGGAAGAAGCGAAAGUGACGGUACCUGCAGAAAAAGCGCCGGCUAACUACGUGCCAGCAGCCGCGGUAAUACGUAGGGCGCAAGCGUUAUCCGGAAUUAUUGGGCGUAAAGAGCUCGUAGGCGGUUUGUCGCGUCUGCUGUGAAAUCCCGAGGCUCAACCUCGGGCCUGCAGUGGGUACGGGCAGACUAGAGUGCGGUAGGGGAGAUUGGAAUUCCUGGUGUAGCGGUGGAAUGCGCAGAUAUCAGGAGGAACACCGAUGGCGAAGGCAGAUCUCUGGGCCGUAACUGACGCUGAGGAGCGAAAGGGUGGGGAGCAAACAGGAUUAGAUACCCUGG